GACGGAGGGGGCAAGCGUUGUCCGGAAUCACUGGGCGUAAAGCGCACGUAGGCGGGCCGGUGCGUCGGUGCUGAAAGCGCCAGACUUAACCUGGCGAGGCGUGCCGAUACGACCGACCUCGAGGCAGACAGAGGGUGGCGGAAUUCCGGGUGUAGUGGUGAAAUGCGUAGAGAUCCGGAGGAACGCCGGUGGCGAAAGCGGCCACCUGGGUCUGACCUGACGCUGAGGUGCGAAAGCUAGGGGAGCAAACAGG
rnacentral:rRNA from 1 species